AGUGAACGCUGGCGGUAGGCCUAACACAUGCAAGUCGAACGGCAGCACAGUAAGAGCUUGCUCUUACGGGUGGCGAGUGGCGGACGGGUGAGGAAUACAUCGGAAUCUACUUUUUCGUGGGGGAUAACGUAGGGAAACUUACGCUAAUACCGCAUACGACCUACGGGUGAAAGCAGGGGAUCUUCGGACCUUGCGCGAUUGAAUGAGCCGAUGUCGGAUUAGCUAGUUGGCGGGGUAAAGGCCCACCAAGGCGACGAUCCGUAGCUGGUCUGAGAGGAUGAUCAGCCACACUGGAACUGAGACACGGUCCAGACUCCUACGGGAGGCAGCAGUGGGGAAUAUUGGACAAUGGGCGCAAGCCUGAUCCAGCCAUACCGCGUGGGUGAAGAAGGCCUUCGGGUUGUAAAGCCCUUUUGUUGGGAAAGAAAAGCAGCAGGUUAAUACCUCGCUGUUAUGACGGUACCCAAAGAAUAAGCACCGGCUAACUUCGUG
rnacentral:rRNA from 1 species